AUAAGGAGCUUGCUCCUUUGACGUUAGCGGCGGACGGGUGAGUAACACGUGGGUAACCUACCUAUAAGACUGGGACAACUUCGGGAAACCGGAGCUAAUACCGGAUAAUAUGUUGAACUGCAUGGUUCAAUAGUGAAAGAUGGUUUUGCUAUCACUUAUAGAUGGACCCGCGCCGUAUUAGCUAGUUGGUGAGGUAAUGGCUCACCAAAGCAACGAUACGUAGCCGACCUGAGAGGGUGAUCGGCCACACUGGAACUGAGACACGGUCCAGACUCCUACGGGAGGCAGCAGUAGGGAAUCUUCCGCAAUGGGCGAAAGCCUGACGGAGCAACGCCGCGUGAGUGAUGAAGGUCUUAGGAUCGUAAAACUCUGUUAUUAGGGAAGAACAAACGUGUAAGUAACUGUGCACGUCUUGACGGUACCUAAUCAGAAAGCCACGGCUAACUACGUGCCAGCAGCCGCGGUAAUACGUAGGUGGCAAGCGUUAUCCGGAAUUAUUGGGCGUAAAGCGCGCGUAGGCGGUUUUUUAAGUCUGAUGUGAAAGCCCACGGCUCAACCGUGGAGGGUCAUUGGAAACUGGAAAACUUGAGUGCAGAAGAGGAAAGUGGAAUUCCAUGCGUAGCGGUGAAAUGCGCAGAGAUAUGGAGGAACACCAGUGGCGAAGGCGACUUUCUGGUCUGUAACUGACGCUGAUGUGCGAAAGCGUGGGGAUCAAACAG
rnacentral:rRNA from 1 species